rnacentral:rRNA from 1 species
GUAGUUUAGUGUUAUUUCUGAACUACUGACUGUCAGCCAGUAAUUUUUAAAAUUAUUAGAUGUUCAGAGUCAUAGAUUGAGUGGCAGACGGGUGAGUAAUACAUGGGAAUCUACCCUAUAGUGUGGGAUAACCACUGGAAACAGUGGCUAAUACUGCAUAUUGCCGAGAGGUGAAAGAUUUAUCGCUAUAGGAUGAGCCCAUGCGGGAUUAGCUUGUUGGUAAGGUAAUGGCUUACCAAGGCUACGAUCUCUAGUUGGUCUGAGAGGAUGAUCAGCCACACUGGAACUGAGACACGGUCCAGACUCCUAUGGGAGGCAGCAGUGAGGAAUAUUGGACAAUGGGCGAAAGCCUGAUCCAGCAACGUCGCGUGAGUGGUAAGGCCUUAGGGUUGUAAAGCUCUUUUAGUGGGGAAGAUAAUGACGGUACCCACAGAAAAAGCCCCGGCUAACUUCGUGCCAGCAGCCGCGGUAAUACGAAGGGGGCAAGCGUUACUCGGAAUUAUUGGGCGUAAAGAGUGCGUAGGCGGUACUGUAAGUUAGGGGUGAAAUCCUCAGGCUCAACCUGAGAACUGCUCUUAAUACUGUAGUACUUGAGUUUUGAAGGGGGUAGCGGAAUUCCUAGUGUAGAGGUGGAAUUCGUAGAUAUUAGGAGGAACACCGGUGGCGAAAGCGGAUACCUGGUCAAAUACUGACGCUGUUGCACGAAAGCGUGGGGAGCAAACAGGAUUAGAUACCCUGGUAGUCCACGCAGUAAACGAUGAGUGCUAGAUAUCGGGACGUUUUUGUUUCGGUAUCCAAGCUAACGCGUUAAGCACUCCGCCUGAGUAGUACGGCCGCAAGGCUAAAACUUAAAGGAAUUGACGGGGACCCGCACAAGCGGUGGAACAUGUGGUUUAAUUCGAUGCUACGCGAAAAACCUUACCAAGUCUUGACAUAAUAGUCGUACGCCUAUGAGAGUAGGCAGUCGGUUCGGCCGGACUAUUACAGGUGUUGCAUGGUUGUCGUCAGCUCGUGUCGUGAGAUGUUGGGUUAAGUCCCGCAACGAGCGCAACCCUCAUCCUUAGUUGCCAGCGGUUCGGCCGGGUACUUUAGGGAAACUGCCGGCGAUAAGCCGGAGGAAGGUGGGGAUGAUGUCAAAUCAGCAUGGCCCUUAUGACUUGGGCUACACACGUGUUACAAUGGUAGUUACAAUGAGGAGCGAAGGGGUGACCUGGAGCAAAUCUUCAAAAAUUACCUAAGUUCGGAUUGUACCCUGCAACUCGGGUACAUGAAGUUGAAAUCGCUAGUAAUCGCAGAUCAGCAUGCUGCGGUGAAUACGUUCCCGGGUCUUGUACACACUGCCCGUCAAGCCAUGGGAGUUGGUUCUGCUUUAAGUGGGUGUGCUAACCGUAAGGAGGCAGCCUAUCACGGCAGGGUCGAUGACUGGGGUUAAGUCGUAACAAGGUA